AAUUGGCAGGCCCCUCGGCCAAUGGCACUAGGAGUUCACUCCGUUCGUCCCGCCCACAGGUGCUGGCUGCCACCGCAACCGAACUGGCGGUCCAAGUAGCUGCGGGUCCCGCAAUUCUCCACUGGAGCCUCGGGUGCUUCGGCUGCGGUGAAGCUGGUGGAGUCCGCACGGAACGCUCAGUCCCAUGGGCCUUUCGAGGGGGAUGGCCGCGUUCUCAAUCUCGCAGGCCGGGUUCCCAAGGUUGCUCCGGAGUCCUGAUGAGUGGCAACGCCACACAGCCUGCGAGCGCUGAGGAGUUUGAAGAAGAUCUAUGCUGAAGCUCCUGGGGUCCUGGAGACUAAAGACUGGAGAAGAGGCCGUGCCAAGGAUUCCCGCCUAUCUGUGAUGGCUAAUAUUGGUUAUCAACUUGACACACCUGAAGAAGAGGGAACCUUACAUGAAGAAUUGCCUCUGUUCCAUCAGACUGGCCUGUGGGCAUGAAUGUAUGUAUAGAUGUAUAUUUUAAAUUGCUAACUGAUGUUGGCACUUGUGGGUGGUGCUACCCCAGGCAAGUGGUCCUGACCGGUACAAGCAAGCUGUCUGAAUAAAAUAUCAUUUGUACCCAAGUAGGAGGAAGCAAGCCAGUACUGCAGCAUUCCUCAGAGGGCUCUGCUUCAGUUCCUGCCUCCAGGUUCUGACUUGAAUUCCUUAGGUGGCUUCUCUCAGUGACCGACUGUGACCUGAAAGCCAAAUAAACUCCGUCUUCUCUUUGUUAUGGUUUCUAUUGCUGUGAUCAUCAUGACCCAGAGCAACUUGGGGAGGAGAGGAUUUAUGUCCCUUGUACUUCCAAAAUCAUAGUCUACCAUCAAAGGAAGUCACACCAGGAACUCAUGGCAGGAACCUGGUAGGCAGGAACUGGGCCAGAGACCAGGAGUGCUUGCUUCUCACUGGUUUGCUCAGCCUGUUUUCAUACAUCACUCAGGACCAUCAGCCCAGGGUAAAUCCUACCCACAGUGAGUUCGGGUCCUCCCACAUCAA